rnacentral:rRNA from 1 species
GAUGAACGCUGGCGGCGUGCCUAAUACAUGCAAGUCGAGCGAACAGACGAGGAGCUUGUUCCUCUGACGUUAGCGGCGCACGGGCGAGUAACGCGUGGAUAACAUACCUAAAUGACUGGGAUAAUCUCGGGAAACGGGAGCUAAUACCGGAUAAUAUAUUGAACCGUAUGGUUCGAUAGUGAAAGACGGUUUUGGUGGCACGUAUAGGUGGAUCCGCGCCGCAUUAGCUAGUUGGUAAGGUGACGGCUUACCACGGCAACGAUGCGUAGCCGACCUGAGAGGAUGAUAGGCCCCACUGGAACUGGGACACAUUCCAGUCUGCUGCGGGAAGCAGCAGUAGGGCAUCGUACGCACUGGGCGAAAGCAUUACAGAGCCACGCCGCGCGAGUGAUGUAGGUCUUCGGAUCGUAAGACUCUGUUAUUAGGGAAGAACAAAUGUGUAAGUAACUCUUCAUGUCUUGACGGUACUUAGUCAGGAAGCCACGGCUAACUACGUG